rnacentral:rRNA from 1 species
GAUGAACGCUGGCGGCGUGCUUAACACAUGCAAGUCGAACGGAAAGGCUCCUGCUUGCCGGGGUACUCGAGUGGCGAACGGGUGAGUAACACGUGGGUGAUCUGCCCUGCACUUCGGGAUAAGCCUGGGAAACUGGGUCUAAUACCGGAUAGGACCACAUUUUGGAUGGUGUGGUGGAAAGUUUUUCGGUGUGGGAUGAGCUCGCGGCCUAUCAGCUUGUUGGUGGGGUAAUGGCCUACCAAGGCGUCGACGGGUAGCCGGCCUGAGAGGGUGUACGGCCACAUUGGGACUGAGAUACGGCCCAGACUCCUACGGGAGGCAGCAGUGGGGAAUAUUGCACAAUGGGCGCAAGCCUGAUGCAGCGACGCCGCGUGGGGGAUGACGGCCUUCGGGUUGCAAACUCCUUUCGCUAGGGACGAAGCGCAAGUGACGGUACCUGGAGAAGAAGCACCGGCUAACUACGUG